rnacentral:rRNA from 1 species
GUUGUAUGGUUAAGUGACUAAGCGUACACGGUGGAUGCCUUGGCAGUCAGAGGCGAUGAAAGACGUAGUAACUUGCGAUAAGCCCAGAUUAGGUAGUAACAACCAUUUGAGUCUGGGAUUUCUGAAUGGGGAAACCCACGUGCAUAAGCACGUAUCCUUACCUGAAUACAUAGGGUAAGGAGGCGAACCGGGGGAACUGAAACAUCUAAGUACCCCGAGGAAAAGAAAUCAACCGAGAUUCCGAAAGUAGCGGCGAGCGAAAUUGGACUAGCCCUUAAGCUUUACACGCGUUAGACGAACGGUCUGGAAAGUCCGACGAUACAGGGUGAUAGUCCCGUAGUUGACGACGUGUGUUCAGUGAAAUCGAGUAGGGCGGGACACGUGAUAUCCUGUCUGAAUAUGGGGGGACCAUCCUCCAAGGCUAAAUACUACUGACUGACCGAUAGUGAACCAGUACCGUGAGGGAAAGGCGAAAAGAACCCCUGUGAGGGGAGUGAAAUAGAACCUGAAACCGUGUACGUACAAGCAGUAGGAGCAGGCUUGUCCUGUGACUGCGUACCUUUUGUAUAAUGGGUCAGCGACUUAUAUUCAGUGGCAAGGUUAACCAUCUAGGGGAGCCGUAGGGAAACCGAGUCUUAACUGGGCGUUCAGUCUCUGGAUAUAGACCCGAAACCAGGUGAUCUAGCCAUGGGCAGGUUGAAGGUUGAGUAACAUCAACUGGAGGACCGAACCGACUAAUGUUGAAAAAUUAGCGGAUGACUUGUGGCUAGGGGUGAAAGGCCAAUCAAACCUGGAGAUAGCUGGUUCUCCCCGAAAGCUAUUUAGGUAGCGCCUCGGACGAAUACUACUGGGGGUAGAGCACUGUUAAGGCUAGGGGGUCAUCCCGACUUACCAACCCUUUGCAAACUCCGAAUACCAGUAAGUACUAUCCGGGAGACACACGGCGGGUGCUAACGUCCGUCGUGGAGAGGGAAACAACCCAGACCGCCAGCUAAGGUCCCAAAUUACUACUAAGUGGGAAACGAUGUGGGAAGGCUCAGACAGCCAGGAUGUUGGCUUAGAAGCAGCCAUCAUUUAAAGAAAGCGUAAUAGCUCACUGGUCGAGUCGGCCUGCGCGGAAGAUGUAACGGGGCUAAGUAGUAAACCGAAGCUGCGGCAAUAUACUUUUGUAUAUUGGGUAGGGGAGCGUUCUGUAAGCGGUUGAAGGUGUGUGGUAACGCAUGCUGGACGUAUCAGAAGUGCGAAUGCUGACAUGAGUAACGAUAAAGGGGGUGAAAAACCUCCUCGCCGGAAGACCAAGGGUUCCUGUCCAACGUUAAUCGGGGCAGGGUAAGUCGACCCCUAAGGCGAGGCCGAAAGGCGUAGUCGAUGGGAAACGGGUUAAUAUUCCCGUACUUCUUACAAUUGCGAUGGGGGGACGGAGAAGGCUAGGUGGGCCUGGCGACGGUUGUCCAGGUUCAAGUGCGUAGGCUUNNNNNNNNNNNNNNNNNNNNNNNNNNNNNNNNNNNNNNNNNNNNNNNNNNNNNNNNNNNNNNNNNNNNNNNNNNNNNNNNNNNNNNNNNNNNNNNNNNNNGCGGAUGGAGCUAUUGAGAGUCGCAGAUACCAGGUGGCUGCAACUGUUUAUUAAAAACACAGCACUGUGCAAAAUCGUAAGAUGACGUAUACGGUGUGACGCCUGCCCGGUGCCGGAAGGUUAAUUGAUGGGGUUAGACUUCGGUCGAAGCUCUUGAUCGAAGCCCCGGUAAACGGCGGCCGUAACUAUAACGGUCCUAAGGUAGCGAAAUUCCUUGUCGGGUAAGUUCCGACCUGCACGAAUGGCGUAAUGAUGGCCACGCUGUCUCCACCCGAGACUCAGUGAAAUUGAAAUCGCUGUGAAGAUGCAGUGUACCCGCGGCUAGACGGAAAGACCCCGUGAACCUUUACUACAGCUUGGCACUGAACAUUGACCCUACAUGUGUAGGAUAGGUGGGAGGCUUUGAAGCACGUACGCCAGUAUGUGUGGAGCCGUCCUUGAAAUACCACCCUUGUAGUGUUGAUGUUCUAACGUCGACCCCUGAUCGGGGUUGCGGACAGUGCCUGGUGGGUAGUUUGACUGGGGCGGUCUCCUCCCAAAGAGUAACGGAGGAGCACGAAGGUGGGCUAAUCACGGUUGGACAUCGUGAGGUUAGUGCAAUGGCAUAAGCCCGCUUGACUGCGAGAAUGACAAUUCGAGCAGGUGCGAAAGCAGGUCAUAGUGAUCCGGUGGUUCUGAAUGGAAGGGCCAUCGCUCAACGGAUAAAAGGUACUCCGGGGAUAACAGGCUGAUACCGCCCAAGAGUUCAUAUCGACGGCGGUGUUUGGCACCUCGAUGUCGGCUCAUCACAUCCUGGGGCUGAAGUCGGUCCCAAGGGUAUGGCUGUUCGCCAUUUAAAGUGGUACGCGAGCUGGGUUUAGAACGUCGUGAGACAGUUCGGUCCCUAUCUGCCGUGGGCGUUGGAAGAUUGAAGGGGGCUGCUCCUAGUACGAGAGGACCGGAGUGGACGAACCUCUGGUGUUCGGGUUGUGUCGCCAGACGCAUUGCCCGGUAGCUAAGUUCGGAAUCGAUAACCGCUGAAAGCAUCUAAGCGGGAAGCGAGCCCUGAGAUGAGUCUUCCCUGAUACUUUAAGUAUCCUAAAGGGUUGUCGGAGACUACGACGUUGAUAGGUCAGGUGUGUAAGUGCUGUGAGGCAUUGAGCUAACUGAUACUAAUUGCCCGUGAGGCUUAACCAUACAACACCCAAGGGGUUU